rnacentral:antisense_RNA from 1 species
CUUCAACGACCCGAGCCACAAGGGCUGUUCCACCGGGCGGUCACGGCCGUACGUCGCCAGCAGCGCCUGGGCCUC